CCUACGGGUGGCAGCAGUGAGGAAUAUUGGACAAUGGGGGCAACCCUGAACCAGCGACGCCGCGUGCGUGAAGAAGUAUUUCGGUAUGUAAAACUCUAUCAGCAGGGAAGUAAGCACUGACGGUACCUGACUAAGAAGCCCCGGCUAACUACGUGCCAGCAGCCGCGGUAUUACGUAGGGGGCAAGCGUUAUCCGGAUUUACUGGGUGUAAGGGGAGCGUAGACGGUUACGGAAGUCAGGAGUGAAAGGCGGGGGCCCAACCCCCGGACUGCUUUGGAUACUGUAUUGCUGGAGGGUAGGUGAGGUAGGUGGAAUGCCUAGGGUAGCGGUGAAAUGCUUAGAGAUUA
rnacentral:rRNA from 1 species